GACGAACGCUGGCGGCGUGCCUAAUACAUGCAAGUAGAACGCUGAAGGAGGAGCUUGCUUCUCUGGAUGAGUUGCGAACGGGUGAGUAACGCGUAGGUAACCUGCCUGGUAGUGGGGGAUAACUAUUGGAAACGAUAGCUAAUACCGCAUAAGAGUAGAUGUUGCAUGACAUUUGCUUAAAAGGUGCAAUUGCAUCACUACCAGAUGGACCUGCGUUGUAUUAGCUAGUUGGUGAGGUAACGGCUCACCAAGGCAACGAUACAUAGCCGACCUGAGAGGGUGAUCGGCCACACUGGGACUGAGACACGGCCCAGACUCCUACGGGAGGCAGCAGUAGGGAAUCUUCGGCAAUGGACGGAAGUCUGACCGAGCAACGCCGCGUGAGUGAAGAAGGUUUUCGGAUCGUAAAGCUCUGUUGUAAGAGAAGAACGAGUGUGAGAGUGGAAAGUUCACACUGUGACGGUAUCUUACCAGAAAGGGACGGCUAACUACGUG
rnacentral:rRNA from 1 species